rnacentral:misc_RNA from 1 species
GAUGAAGAACGUAGCAAAAUGCGAUACUUGGUGUGAAUUGCAGAAUCCCGUGAACCAUCGAGUUUUUGAACGCAAGUUGCGCCCGAAGCCUUUUGGCCGAGGGCACGUCUGCCUGGGCGUCACGCAUCGCGUCGCCCCCCACAAUUCUUCGUAAGGGGAACUCGUGUUUUGGGGGCGGAUAUUGGUCUCCCGUGCUCACGGCGUGGUUGGCCGAAAUAGGAGUCCCUUCGAUGGACGCACGAACUAGUGGUGGUCGUAAAAACCCUCGUCUUUUGUUUCGUGCUGUUAGUCGCAAGGGAAACUCUAAGAAAACCCCAACGUGUCGUCUUAUCACGGCGCUUCGACCGCGACCCCAGGUCAGGCGGGACUACCCGCUGAGUUUAAGCAUAUCAAUAAGCGGAGGA